rnacentral:rRNA from 2 species
UUCCCCUAGUAACGGCGAGUGAAGCGGGAACAGCUCAAAUUUGAAAUCUGGCCCUUGGGUCCGAGUUGUAAUUUGCAGAGGAUGCUUUUGGUGCGGUGCCUUCCGAGUUCCCUGGAACGGGACGCCUUAGAGGGUGAGAGCCCCGUACGGUUGGACACCAAGCCUAUGUAAAGCUCCUUCGACGAGUCGAGUAGUUUGGGAAUGCUGCUCAAAAUGGGAGGUAUAUUUCUUCUAAAGCUAAAUAUUGGCCAGAGACCGAUAGCGCACAAGUAGAGUGAUCGAAAGAUGAAAAGCACUUUGAAAAGAGGGUUAAAUAGCACGUGAAAUUGUUGAAAGGGAAGGAUUUAUGACCAGACUUUUUCUAGGGGGAUCAUCCGGUGUUCUCACCGGUGCACUUCCCCUAGUUGAGGCCAGCAUCGGUUUCUGUCGAGGGAUAAAAGCUUUAGGAAUGUGGCUCCCUCCGGGGAGUGUUAUAGCCUGUUGCAUAAUACCUUGACGGGGACCGAGGUUCGCGCAUUGCAAGGAUGCUGGCGUAAUGGUUAUUAAUCACCCGUCU